UCUCUCCUUACCUUCAGCUGAGUUGUAGUUCCAGGUAGGGUGGGAUAAGGGGAAGGCAGCGUUUAUGAGGUAUGGGUUUUGAGUCGGCUGUCUGUCCUUUCCCAAGACAGACUUCCGAGCUUCCACCUGUAUUCGUUCUCUCUCUUCGGUGGUGAAGAGAACCUGCAAGAGCUGCUGACAGUCAUCCCAAGUAGGCUGAUCCAAAUUAUUGCCUUCAAGAGUCAGCUCCAGACUUACUUUCUAUGAAACUUCAAACGAUCUUUCAUUGUACUGAAUUAAAAUACUGUUUAUGUA